CCAUGUUAUUCAUUUACGAUACCUAUACGUAUGUGGUACACAAUCUGAAAUAGUAGAAGGGGAAAAUAAAGCAUUAAUGUGGAGUAUGUUCCAAUGGAAAUCUUCAGGAACACCUUGAAGGUCUGAGUGCAAUUUUUCUUUAGUUCUCUGUGAGCUUAAAAAUGCAACUGAUGUGGCCCAUGCAACUGAAAUUAAAAACAUGGAGAAGAAUCAUAAAAGAUCUUGCUGAAAAUGCCCUCGUUCCGCACUUCGUGUGGACAGGCAGCGCCCUUUACCUUUGAAGUCUCGAAAAAUGGUCUGGGUGAUGCGGGUGCCUCAAUGCUUGAUGCCAUGUUCUGUAAGAGGCCAAGGUUGUAUUUGGGUGUCCACGCGCUACAGGGAAUUACUGUGCGGAGUAGUAAGAAUUGAUUUAAACGUAGAGCCUAGACUCGCACUCCAUGAGCAUCCAUGGCCGGCGAGACGGGACCCUCGACCCUCGGCCUCUGUUGAGAAGGAUCGUUCCACUGUGUCCGAUUUGUAGUACAGAGCAAUCUCAUUCCUCUGAAGUUCCUAUUGGGCAAAAUGGGCAAGAUGUGUUUGGUCAGUGGUGCUUUGUUUUUUAGGCUAUGGCUAUGAUAACUUGAUGACACCCCUUUGUAGUACAGAGCAAUCUCAUGCAUUUGUCCUCCAUCUUCAGGAACAUUUAUUAGUGUACAAUGGCCAAGCAAUUGUUUAAAAAAAUAAGAAACCUGGAAUUGAAUUGCUAAAACAUGGAAUUAUUCUGCUUAUUUGUAGGUUAAUGUAUGACUAUCACGUUCCCCACCAAGUGAAAUGUGCUAU